UACGUAGGGGGCGAGCGUUGUCCGGAAUCAUUGGGCGUAAAGCGCGUGUAGGCGGCCCGGUAAGUCCGCUGUGAAAGUCCAGGGCUCAACCCUGGGAUGCCGGUGGAUACUGUCGGGCUCGAGUCCGGAAGAGGCGAGUGGAAUUCCUGGUGUAGCGGUGAAAUGCGCAGAUAUCAGGAAGAACACCUAUGGCGAAGGCAGCUCUCUGGGACGGUACUGACGCUGAGACGCGAAAGCGUGGGGAGCGAACAGG
rnacentral:rRNA from 1 species